rnacentral:rRNA from 1 species
GACGAACGCUGGCGGCGUGCCUAAUACAUGCAAGUCGAACGCAGUGGGGACGGGUGAGUAACACGUGGGUAACCUCCCAUCAGAGGGGAUAACACUUGGAAACAGGUGCUAAACCGAGACUGAGGGAUGGACCCGCGGUGCAUUAGCGAUUUGGUGGGGUAACGGCUCACCAAGGCCACGAUGCAUAGGGGACCUGAGAGGGUGAUCGGCCACACUGGUACUGAGACACGGCCCAGACUCCGACGGGAGGCAGCAGUGUGGAAUCUUCGGCAAUGGACGAAAGUCUGACCGAUCAACGCCGCGUGAGUGAAGAAGGUUUUCGGAUCGUAAAACUCUGUUGUUAGAGAAGCGGUAUCUAACCAGAAAGCCCCGGCUAACUACGUGCCAGCAGCCGCGGUAAUAC